GACUCGUCACACUAUCAUUAACUGAAUCCAUAGGUUAAUGAGGCGAACCGGGGGAACUGAAACAUCUAAGUACCCCGAGGAAAAGAAAUCAACCGAGAUUCCCCCAGUAGCGGCGAGCGAACGGGGAGGAGCCCAGAGCCUGAAUCAGCAUGUGUGUUAGUGGAAGCGUCUGGAAAGGCGCGCGAUACAGGGUGACAGCCCCGUACACAAAAGCGCAUGUGCUGUGAGCUCGAUGAGUAGGGCGGGACACGUGGUAUCCUGUCUGAAUAUGGGGGGACCAUCCUCCAAGGCUAAAUACUCCUGACUGACCGAUAGUGAACCAGUACCGUGAGGGAAAGGCGAAAAGAACCCCGGCGAGGGGAGUGAAAAAGAACCUGAAACCGUGUACGUACAAGCAGUGGGAGCACAGGUUUACCUGUGUGAC
rnacentral:rRNA from 1 species